AGUGAACGCUGGCGGUAGGCCUAACACAUGCGAGUCGAACGGCAGCACAGUAAGAGCUUGCUCUUACGGGUGGCGAGUGGCGGACGGGUGAGGAAUACAUCGGAAUCUACUUUUUCGUGGGGGAUAACGUAGGGAAACUUACGCUAAUACCGCAUACGACCUACGGGUGAAAGCAGGGGAUCUUCGGACCUUGCGCGAUUGAAUGAGCCGAUGUCGGAUUAGCUAGUUGGCGGGGUAAAGGCCCACCAAGGCGACGAUCCGUAGCUGGUCUGAGAGGAUGAUCAGCCACACUGGAACUGAGACACGGUCCAGACUCCUACGGGAGGCAGCAGUGGGGAAUAUUGGACAAAGGGCGCAAGCCUGAUCCAGCCAUACCGCGUGGGUGAAGAAGGCCUUCGGGUUGUAAAGCCCUUUUGUUGGGAAAGAAAAGCAGCAGGUUAAUACCCCGCUGUUCUGACGGUACCCAAAGAAUAAGCACCGGCUAACUUCGUG
rnacentral:rRNA from 1 species